UGAAGAAGUGAGAGUGAAGGACCUGCUCACACGGGUGCUGAGUGCUGAGAAGCAUUAAUGUAUUGCAUUUAUUUAAGACAGUGAUAGUACUCUAGUUCUGGUAUAUCUUUUACUCUCAGCCCAUUCACACCGCUAUUGGAUGUAUCUCUUGUGGUUUCUCUGUGAAACAAUAUGUAUGUCUAUGAAUUGGGAUUAUUAAUACGUAACUCACAAAGGUAGGUUAGUUUAAUUAUAUUAUUGUUGGCCAGCAGAGAUCUAUUGGGUAAUUUUGGGAAAGCAUCAAUACCUUUUUAACCACACAGCACUCAUAUAUGUCAAUUUUUAUAUUCAGAGCCAUGUCCCAUCAGGACAAGAAUGUGAAAAUGAAUUCAGAUGCCAUGCUGUUGGGAAGGUGGAAAUAAGCAGCGUUUUGACAUCUCUCAAAGCCAGCUGGAUAACUGCAACGUGCAGGUGUUUCCAAGAAUCCCUGGCACGCCUUAUGAAUGCUGGAUUAUUUAGCUUUAGGUUUCCUGGCCAACAUACACUCCUAACACUAUGUCAAGAAAAGAAACAUAUCAGCUCAUAGAAUAAUUCUUAAAUCUCACUAUGUCAGACAGUGGCAACUUUCUGAAGAAACUACUGAUAACUAUGGGGAAGAAAGAAAAAUCCCAAGAGAAGGUGAUUGUAUAUAUGGAUAUGAACUGGCAACCUGAUAUACAUGAGAUGUUCAAACCCUUUGGAUCAAUUCUCUACACUGUUAAUGGCAUCUGUUGUCUAUAGCAGCAGCGGGCUCAUGCCUGAGAAAAAAACAAGAAGCUGCGAAAAUGGUGAUGGAGUCAAGCAAGCAGGAACGAUCUAUGCCAACUGGUGGGGAUGUAGGUUAGUCCUAAAAUGCACAGUCUGAGUCUGAAGAAUUACAAGGAAUCCAUACAUACCACCUUGCACAGAAAGGUUAGGAACCAAAUGAUCUUCCAGUGAGCUAGUGACAGCUGGCGGACUUCACUGUCACUUGCUGGAGGGGUGGAAUGAGCCAACAGUGGAUACGCCUUUGGGAUUUCUGGGAGCUGGCUGGGUUCCAGAUUCUGCCACAUAAUUCCUGUGUCAUCUUGGCAAAAUCACUUCUCCUGUGCGCUGCUUCUACAGCCUGGGGGCAAUAACUCUUCCUUACCUUGUGCAGUUUUUGUUUUGGUUGGUUUUGUAAGGUGCUUAGUUACCAAGUGUCGGGAGCCAUAAAGUACCCAGAUCAAUUGAAAACCCGUCAGUCAGAGCUUGAAAACACAUCAGUCUCUGUAUUCGGAGCUUUUUAUUAAAUUAAGAAGAAAAAAAAAAAAGUGAGACAAUAUUGGCUUGGGGUCUGCUUGCCCCCGUUAGCAUAUUGCUAUGAUUGUCUUUGAAUACUUU
rnacentral:lncRNA from 1 species